rnacentral:pre_miRNA from 1 species
UUAACUCGAUUUUGUAUGGAGUUAGAACGGUUGCUGCGUUUGCCGCUAGGGGCGCUGAUCAGACUGCAUACAAAUUAGAGUCA